GUGAAUCAUCAAAUUUUUGAACGCAAAUUGCACUCUCUUCGGAGAGUAUGCCUGUUUGAGGGUCAGCCUAUAAAAAAUCGACAUCGUUGCUGUUUCGCGGUAACGUUCGUCGGAAAUUGGGUCAUCUUAAAUCUUUUGGUUUAAGCGACUUAAAAAUUUCUUUUUGAUUCCAUGAACGUUUCUAAGAUUUAUUUCUUUACACGUUUAAGGUAUCGAUUUAUUAGACGUGGUCGUCAUAUCGGAUUGCGUCCAUAAUCUUUAAUUAACUUACCUCAGACAGGUAAGAGUACU
rnacentral:misc_RNA from 1 species